rnacentral:rRNA from 1 species
GUCUUUAUGAUAAUAAUUUAAAGUCUGGCCUGCUCACUGAAAUUUAAAGAGCCGCGGUAUUAUGACCGUGCAAAGGUAGCAUAAUCAUUAGUCUUUUAAUUGGAGGCUAGAAUGAAUGGUUUAACGAUAAAUAUACUGUCUCUUAUUAACAAGUUGAAUUUAACAUUUGAGUCAAAAGGCUUAAAUAAAAUUUAAGGACGAGAAGACCCUAUAGAGCUUUAUAUAAAAUUUUAAUUAUAGAUUAAGAUUAUUUAACUUUAUUAAUUUAUAUAUUUUAUUGGGGUGAUAGUAAGAAUAGAUAAACUCUUAUUAAUUAAUACAAAGAUAAAUGUUUUGUUGAUCCAUUAAUAAUGAUUAAAAGAUUAAGUUACCUUAGGGAUAACAGCGUAAUAGUUUUAGAGAGUUCUUAUCAAUAAAAUAGAUUACGACCUCGAUGUUGGAUUAAGAUAAAUAUAUGGUGCAUAAGUGAUAUAAUUAGGUCUGUUCGACCUUUAAAUUCUU